GGACCUAGCGGCGGACGGGUGAGUAAUACUUAGGAAUCUGCCUAUUAGUGGGGGACAACGUUCCGAAAGGAGCGCUAAUACCGCAUACGCCCUAUGGGGGAAAGCAGGGGAUCUUCGGACCUUGCGCUAAUAGAUGAGCCUAAGUCGGAUUAGCUAGUUGGUAGGGUAAAGGCCUACCAAGGCGACGAUCUGUAGCGGGUUUGAGAGGAUGAUCCGCCACACUGGGACUGAGACACGGCCCAGACUCCUACGGGAGGCAGCAGUGGGGAAUAUUGGACAAUGGGCGCAAGCCUGAUCCAGCCAUGCCGCGUGUGUGAAGAAGGCCUUAUGGUUGUAAAGCACUUUAAGCGAGGAGGAGGCUUACCUGGUUAAUACCUAGGAUAAGUGGACGUUACUCGCAGAAUAAGCACCGGCUAACUCUGUGCCAGCAGCCGCGGUAAUACAGAGGGUGCAAGCGUUAAUCGGAAUUACUGGGCGUAAAGCGCGCGUAGGUGGCCAUUUAAGUCAAAUGUGAAAUCCCCGAGCUUAACUUGGGAAUUGCAUUCGAUACUGGAUGGCUAGAGUAUAGGAGAGGAAGGUAGAAUUCCAGGUGUAGCGGUGAAAUGCGUAGAGAUCUGGAGGAAUACCGAUGGCGAAGGCAGCCUUCUGGCCUAAUACUGACACUGAGGUGCG
rnacentral:rRNA from 1 species